rnacentral:rRNA from 1 species
UACGUAGGGGGCAAGCGUUGUCCGGAUUUAUUGGGCGUAAAGAGCGUGUAGGCGGCCAUACAGGUCCGUUGUGAAAACUGGAGGCUUAACCUCCAGACGUCGAUGGAAACCGUAUGGCUAGAGUCCGGAAGAGGAGAGUGGAAUUCCUGGUGUAGCGGUGAAAUGCGCAGAUAUCAGGAAGAACACCCGUGGCGAAGGCGGCUCUCUGGGACGGUACUGACGCUGAGGAGCGAAAGCCAGGGGAGCAAACGGG